rnacentral:rRNA from 1 species
CACCUUCGGGUGUGAGUAGAGUGGCGCACGGGUGAGUAACACGUAGGUGACCUGCCUUUUGGAGGGGGAUAACUCGGAGAAAUUCGGGCUAAUACCGCAUAAGUACAACAAAUUUGAAAGUAGUUGUAGAAAGAGUGCCUCUUUGCAAUGCACUUACCGAAAGAUGGGCCUGCGGGACAUUAGCUUGUUGGUGGGGUAAAGGCCUACCAAGGCAACGAUGUCUAGCUGGUCUGAGAGGAUGAUCAGCCACACUGGAACUGAGACACGGUCCAGACUCCUACGGGAGGCAGCAGUGGGGAAUAUUGCGCAAUGGGCGAAAGCCUGACGCAGCAAUGCCGCGUGAGUGAGGAAGGCCUUUGGGUUGUAAAGCUCUGUCAGAUAGGAAAAAUGGCAUAGAAUCUAAUAGGUCUUAUGUUUGAUGGUACUAUCAAAGGAAGCACCGGCUAACUUCGUGCCAGCAGCCGCGGUAAUACGAAGGGUGCAAGCGUUGUUCGGAUUUAUUGGGCGUAAAGCGCGCGCAGGCGGAUUGCUAAGUCAGAUGUGAAAUCUCGGGGCUCAACCCCGAAACUGCGUCUGAAACUGGUGAUCUAGAAUCUUGGAGAGGGAAGGGGAAUUUCG